UUGGGAUUAGGCAAUAUUUCAAUAAAACGUCUUGUUUGAUUUCUUAAUCAACACGAUAUAAUUUCUAACUCAAAAAUAAGAACAACGUCAUUUUUCAAAUCAACGUAUGACAGACACAUAAAAGAAAACAUCGCCUCUCGCAGCAGACAACAAAAAAUUCUCAUGAACAUAGAGAAACCUACUUUAUAAAA